rnacentral:lncRNA from 1 species
GCUUUGCCAUCAGUGGUGUGAGGAGCAGGCCGGGGCAGUGGGCAAUUGAGCGAGGAACAGCUGCGGGAGGACUCCGCGGACUCCUGAGAACCAGCUUAGGGGAGCGGCGGCUUGGGGAGGUGUAGGGUGGAAUCACGAGAAAGCUCUGUGGGAGGGCCUGGUGCACAGCUCAGCUGCAGGGUGGAGCUGAGGGAAAGCCGGGCGUUCCUGGAGGAGGAGCAGGGCGAGGCUGUGGCAAAGCGCUGUGGGAGCAGAUGGGGCGGGGCUGCGGGAAAGAGCUGGAGAAGGAGGAGCCAAGCUGCACCAAGGCUGGCGGGUGAGAAUUGCGGGGGAGGAGCUAGUGCAGAGCUGGAGGAAAGAGCUGAAAGGCAAGAGUCCAAACUUUCCCGCGGCGACCUAACUGCACCUCCAGUGUCUUCCCCCAGAGGGCACAGAAGCAGCAAGAAGGGCGGGAACACUUGACUGGGGUCCAUGCAGCUCUAGGCUGAGUCUUGCAGGGCUGAGCCCCCCAGGCCUGCUCUCCUGUGUCCUGGCCGCUCCGUCAGUGCCUGCCAGUGGGGUCCAGAGGGACCGUUUUUUUAACGCCUCUUUUGCAGUCUCCCGCAUUGACUUCAUAACCAAGUUCUGGGUCCCUGCCUCUGGAGUGCCUGAUGAGACAAAACGGCUCCUCGUCCUGCAUCCCCGCUGCUACUUCCAGAAUUCAGGCCUCGUGGUCUGGAGCCUGCACUGUUCCAUGAGCCUCCUGAGCAACCUGGAGUCCUCUGUCUUUCUUCCCUCAGUGAGAUGCGCCUACUUCUCCCUGGAGAAGCUUGAGGAAGCAGAAAUGCUGGAGAUGAGAGACCUCGUCCGCACAGGGGCUUGUUCUUCUGUGUCUUUGCAGGGCUGUUUUGGACUCAGUAUUCACCUAAGCACUCCAAAUUGGUCGUGCGGAUGUGCGAUGUAGGAGGAGGAGAGAGGUAAAGUGGAGGAAUAGGAGCUGGAGGGGAGGAGGAGAGAAGAAAAGAGGAGAAGGAGGGGGAAGAGAGGGAGCGGGUUCAAGGAGGGAAGGAGGAGGAGAAGGAGAGGAGGAGGAGAUGAGACCAAGGAGAAGAGGUGAAGGAGGAGAGGAGGACACAGAAAAGAGAAGAAAGAGGAGAGGAGACGGAGAAGAGGAGGAGGAGUAACAAAGGAGGAAGAAGAGGAAGAGGACUAGAAGAGCAAGUAAGGAGGAGGAGGGGGGAGUAGGAGGAGAGGAGAAGGACAGAAGGGGAAGGAGAGGCAGAUGUGGAGGAGAGGAGGUGGAGGACAGGAGGGGAUGAGAAAGAGGAGGAGAAAAGGAGAGGAGAGGGAUGAGGGGGGAGGAGGAAGAGAAAAGAACAGGAGGAGAAGAGGAGGAGAAAAGGAGGAGGAGUGAAAGAAAAGAGGAGAAGGAGAGGAGGGGGGGAGGACGGGGAGGAAGGGAGAAGGAGAGAAAUAGGAGGAGGGAGGAAAGGAGGAGAGGACGAGAGGAGGAGCAGAGGAGGAGGAGGAGAGGAAGGGGAGGAGAUUUGGAGGAAGAGGGGAGGUGGAAGAAGAAAGGAGAAGGCGGAGAAGAGGAGAAAGCAGAGAGGAGGAGGCUGAAGAAAGGAGGACCAGGAGGAGAGGACGAGGAGGAAAGGAGGAAGAGGAAGAGUGGAAUAAGAGGAGCAGAGGAAAAGGAGGAGGGGGUUGGGGAGGAGUGGAGAGGAGAGGAGGAGGAACAGAGUUGGAGGAGGUGAAAGAGAAAAGAGGAGAAGGAGGAGAGGAAGAGAGAAGGAAAUGAGAAGGAGAAAAGUAGGAAGAAGAAGAGAGAAGAGGAGAGGAUGAGGAGGAGGAGAGGAGAAGGAGAGCAGGAGGUGGGAGGAGGAGGAGAGUAAGAGGAGGAAAUGAGGAGGAAGAAAGGAGGACAGAAGGUGGAGAGGAGGAGGAGAGGAGGAGAAGGAAACGAGGAGGAGGACGAGGCUGCACCACCCUUAUCAGGUUCCAGUUCUCGGUGCGCCCCGUUCUGCAAGACACUCUCCUGUGGUCAGCCCUGGUCUGCAGAGGAUUCCCGCGCUGGAUCUCUGAAGGAUGCUGGCGCCCUCUCUGCAGCACAUUCCUGAUGCCCUUGCUGACACGUGUCCUCUGGGCCCUCUCCUGAAACCUGAUUCUCCGGGGUGUCUUCUGGCCUCACCUCUUCUGUCCAGUUCCAGCAAGCUCACUUUGCUUAGCCUUUGAAUCCCUUCCUUCACUGUCUGCCAUGACAGUUCAGGCCUUUCACCGUCACUCAGGCCUGGACCAUCACUGUUGCCCAUCCCAUGCCAUCAACAGGUUUGCCCCAUCCCUUCGGCUCCCUACCAGGGCAUUCAGUUGUGUUGAGCAGCAGAGUGUCUCCAAGUCCCCACUGGUUGAGCUGCAUCCGGGUCCCAUCCCACAGGGACCCCCUGGCCGCUGCAGAUGCAUGCUGAUCCUGCAGCUCCUCGAGGGUGUCAUCGCUUUCCCCCUUCCCAGACCCAGCACACCCUGCCUGCAUGGCGCUGCGCUGCACCUUCACUCUGGUCACGGGUCUGGCAGUCAGCUCACCAAUUCCUCCUGCUUCCCUGGGACUUGCCGGCUUUUAGCACUGCAAUUCACUCAGCAAACUGGGACUGUUGGUCACCCUACCUGGCAGCCAGUGAUAAGGUGAGGGCCACUCCUGGGAGGGAGGACACCUGUGGGGAAAAUUCUUGUGUUAUUUAUUUCUCCUUCGGGAUAGGGUGCCUGCAGCGCUUCAUGGGAGGGGGUGGGCUGAUGCUGCGGGCUCAGAAGUUUCAAGGGCAUCUGGGGAGACCAGAUAUUCAGAGACCUUCUAGAUGUGCCUGUUCCAUGUAUCAGGGACGCAGGUUUUCCCAACAGGGCUGGUGUCAUUGGCAUGACAGACCUGCCUUGGCUGAGCGUUCACCUGUCUUUGGAGUUCAGCCACCUUAGCAAGUCCUGGGUUUGUUCUUCAGACUUUGCUGCUCGCCCAUUGCCUGGAUCGGGGGCUACUUUGUAAACCACCAGGAAGACUCCAGUGUUUCUGGUUAAUUUUUAGAUGUUUGUUAAUUGCUCUUGGUCUCUCAUUAAUCCCCUGUGGGUCAUCCAGGAAACAUACUCACCACUGUCUGUUCUCUGAGUUUUCAUUUCCAGGCAUCCGCCCUGCCUGGAUCUCCUCACCUGCCAGGAACUUCCUCUCCACAAGCCGGCCAUCCCAGCAAAAGUUCUAACACCAAAGGUCUGGCAACUAGCCUGCCAUCUUGUGCCUGGAGCCGCCUGCGUGCCACCUACUCCCGAAGAUGGGAACCUUGUUGCCAGUUGGGCAGAUGCGGGGCAAUCCUGUACCAAGACCCCAUUUUACCACCUGCUUUCUCAGACCACUCUGGAACCCACUGUCUCAGAUUGUGUCCUCCAGGAAGCAGACCAUGAGAGGGAGUUGGCAGGGCCAAAGAUUUACUGGGGCUAACUAACACUCAGGAAAGGGAUAGGAAGGAAACAGGGCUGGAGAGCAGGUUGAGCCCGACCUGACAGUCUCGAGCAGCCCAACAGGGAGGUGUGGAGCAAGGGUUGCCCACUAGAGGGGCCUGCAUUGGGUACGGGUGAUGGGGUCCACAUGGUACCUGGCAUAUAGCAGGCUGUGCAAUCCAUAUUAACUGACUGGAUAAAUUAAUGCCCAGAAAAGGUGCCCUGGAGAAUGGGUGUGUGCUGAACACAAUAGGGAAGGGCCCAGCAUCUGCCUUGGCAUAGGCAGAACUGUGCUGUGCCCUGCAACAGGCCACCUGAGAGCUGCUUUGAUCUUGUGUGUACAUUAGAUGACUGCCAGGGGCAUGAAGGGGAUGUGCUUCCAGGGCAUUUGCUGGCAGGGCGUCUCGUGAUCUCUUGGUAUUGGUGUGAGCACAGCCUGGCAGGAGAGGGCAGAUCUCCAUGCAAAGUAUGUCAGAAAGCAGAUGGAAGCCAGGCCCCCUCCUGAAAGAGGCUCCUUGAAGGUAGGUGCACACUCAUGUCUUUGUUACUUGUAAGGGGGCAUCUUACAGGCAAGAGGAGUUAGGUGAAUGUGAAGAGGAAGGAACUACUCUGGGCAGGGGGCUGGGGGACGCUUCGUAGAGGAGGGGGUGUUUGAGCUGGGCCUUGAAGGUCAAAAGGGUUUUGUUAGGUGGGAAAUGGGGGAAGGACAGUCUGAAAGGGUUAGGUACAUUCAAGGAGCCCAGAGAAGGUUCGUGGCUGGAGCAGACGCAUUCGUAGAGUGAAGUCAUGGGAGAGAAGAGGCUGGGAAACUAGAUUGGUUCCAACUCCUAAAGGACCACUGAAGGAGUGUGGGCUGCACGCUGGGUGCAGCAGGUGAGUUUCCUCACUUGGGUUUCACUGUCAGCAUUUUAAAAAGGCAAACUGGUUUUCUUCCUGAGAAGAAUUCAUUGAUUCACUUGUGGCCAGUAAGUCAUCUGGGCCAGAGGUUGGUGGGGAGAUGAUAGGGGUGCAAGUGUCAUCUUCAAUCACAGCAUAACUGCCCUUGCUUUCUUACCUCUCGUUUAGAUAUUUCAAUGCUUGCUCAGGUCCCCUGCGCCCUCCUUCCUUCUCCCUUCCCAGCCAUACUACUUAUGGGAUGACUUUCUCUUUGUAAAAUGACCGUUAGUCUUAUCAAAUUAAUCCCAAAGUAAUACCAUCAAUUUCCCCCUAAAAUACCAACAAGACCCCUGCUUGAAACUGCUUGUACAUUAGAGACAGAGAAGAGUCCAUGAGAAUCAACAUUUUCUGAGGACUCCAACUGUGUGCCAAGAGAGUUCCCCUGCUGGUGCCUCCUCUGUAGUAAAGGAAAGGCUCCUGGGACCACAUUAUCAUUCUCUUCACUCGAGAGAUGAGGACACUGAAAUUCAGAGAGGGGAAGUGAUUUGCCUCAGCUUGUACUAAAGAAACAUUUCAACAGAGAACCCAGUGGAAAUUAUGACAUGUUAUCUUCUCAGAGUCCUGAACUCCCAUCCCUACCUCAGAAGAGACUCCUCUGUUCACAGAAGCUAAAGGCAGUUCCUUCCCAAUGGCAACUAUGUUUGGAUGUUGGAUCUACACUUUCUCAAGCACUGUGAUCUUCAAAUCAAAGGAGAUUUCUCCCAUUAUAUACUUCUUAUGAUCAACAAAUUCCAUCAUCUCCCCACUAAGAGAAAGUACUCCAAGAUGAUAGAAUGAUUUUAAAGUUAUGGGACUACAACAGCAGCCACAGGAACCUUGAGUAAGUACCAUGAACCCUGACCCUCAGCGUUAAUUUGUAAGCCUUUGGCAGUGAGAUGGAAUGUCUUCCUUCAGUUUGAAACAAAGGAAACCUAUUGCAUCGCACGUAAAUUUGUAUAUUGAUGCUAUAUUGACUUUGUAGCUGCCAUGCCUUCAUACAGACACCUCAUCCAGCCCCCACUGUUCCACUUAUUGUGAUGGUUUGUAUAUCUUUAUUUCAAAGAAGAUCUGUUUGAACCGUGUUUAAUUUCUUCUUUGACCUGCUUUCAUCACUGCCCAUGCCUACCCUGGUGGCAUUCUCAUCCACGAGACUACCACAUCCAUGCCACUAGGUGGCAUUCUCAUCCAUGAGACUACUGCACCCGUGCGCACGUCAAGAAGUAGCCAAGCCAUGGGCUGGAUUGUGCUUUUCCUGAGAGGAUGAAAGGCUUCAUGGAUACAUGCUAGUAUCCAUGUUCCUCUAUUCUCAAGUCAGGCACCAAGAUGAUGUUUCAUACCUGCCUGCCUUUCAAAGUCUCAUAAAUGUUCAUUGAAUAUCCACUCUAUGCAAGGCACUAGGGUAGUCACAGAGGCAAGGUUUGAGCUAAACUACAGGCCCUGCCCUCCAGGAGCUCCCGGUCUCAUGGCAGGGUGCAGAAGCCAGAAUAGAGGGCCAUGGCAUGGGAGAGAACUCUGCUGACCGGGAGCUCUGAAGGGUUAGGGGUCCAUGAGCCUGAUUUAUGGGGUCGUUGCCAUAGGAUUAGGGGCUCCCUGGCAUACAGUGAAUGGAGAGACUAGCAUUGCUGUGUUAUUUCACUGAGAGGGCACCAAUGUUCAGCCUCUGAGACCAGGGGAGGAAAGCAGUGGCCAUGAAUGUUCCCUCCCAUCCCGGGGACUGACUGGGCUCCUCCCACAGUCUCAGACACAGAGGAAGAAGUGUACUCACACUGCCCCAACACCAGUGAGUGGAAAUAUUUAUAGGUCUCUCAUUUGGUUUUAAUUUUUAUUUUUUUAUUUUUCAGAAAUUAAAAAAAAAAUCACACUCACAAAAUUAACCAUUACCCACAUUCCUACCAACAAGAAGUAACCAUUCUUAACCUUGUAAUAUGUUGGUUUCCAGAUUUAUGUUUAUGCUUUAAAAAAUUAUGCAGACAACAUAUUAGCACAUUGCCCCUUUUCUCAUUUGUUUUAAUCCAUGUUCUUCCCAUUUAUACAGGAGCAAUUCUUGCAUUCAGUUAUGGGAUACUAUAAAUGCCUAGUAUAAUGGCAGCAGAGAGAAUUACUAUGGUUGUAUACCUUUUCUCGCUCCUUGCUCCUCAAAUGCCUUAGAGUUUAAAAUCUAUUGUGGAAAGUUUGUGAAAUGCAGAACGGUGAAAAUAAACAAAUUACCAGUGGUUCUUUGGCUUCGGGAGAACUGUAAUUGAUGUUCAUUUUGGUAUAUUUCCCUCCAGUAUUUUUUCCAUAUGGUUUUAUUUUUAAAAAUUUUACCCCAUAUAUAUAUACAUAUAUAUAUACAUACUAACUACUCACAAAAUUAAAAAUUAAAAAAAUUAAAAAUGUAUAAAAUGAAAGAAAAAAAUUAGCCUCAUUUUGUAUUUACUAUUUUAUAAUCUGCCUUUUUGCUUAAUCUUCUUUGUCAUUAUAUGUUCUUCUACCUCAUGAUUUUUAAUAGCUGCCUAGUAUUCCAUUGUAUAGCCAUAGUUAUUUCAUACUUUAUAAUUG